rnacentral:ncRNA from 2 species
UACAGAGGUCUCAACCGUUGUUCGGAUUCAUUGGGCGUAAAGGGUGCGUAGGCGGUCGCGUAAGUCAGGUGUGAAAUCUCUGGGCUCAACCCAGAAACUGCACUUGAUACUGCGUGGCUAGGAUACUGGAGAGGAGACUGGAAUUUACGGUGUAGCAGUGAAAUGCGUAGAUAUCGUAAGGAAGACCAGUGGCGAAGGCGAGUCUCUGGACAGUUAUCGACGCUGAGGCACGAAGGCUAGGGGAGCAAACGGG